CUCAGAUCACGUGACUCGGGGGGUGUUGCAGCCCUCAUGAAUAAUGCAUACCGGUUGCUAAGCGCCCGGAUUUGAAUGACGUGGCUGGGAGGAUAUUGCGAACGUAAGUGCGAGGAGUGGACGGAGGGUCCGGGCUGGCGGGCGCCCGAUGCAGGAGGACGGACGAGCCCUGCGGAGGAAGAAAGCGCCGCCCGAGAGGAGGGGAGCGGCCUCGCGGAGCUGCCCUGCCCACCUCAGGAGGCGGCGGCGGGAAGAAAAUCCCGGGCGCUGCACGGCUGCAGAAGAGCCGUCCGCAAACCGGGAUGAGGCGGAGCCGAAAAGGACCCCGUGAAAGGGCGAUACCCGGAGGGAGAAGCGGAGAGAAGGAGGGAAAGGCGGGGACAAGCGGAGCCCGCGAGACGCUCCCGGAGCGCGGAGAGUCCUUCAGCACAGACGGAAAACGCGGGAAUCCCCGAAGAAGAAGAACCCAAAACCAGGGAGAAAAGAAAAACGAAUGUAUAGAAUGUGGAAGAUCCUUCAAAACAAAUCAGCAGCUUCAAAACCAUCUGAGAACCCAUUCAGGAGAAAAACCAUAUCAGUGCCUGGAGUGUGGAAGGAGCUUCGCUGUGAGGGGAACUCUUUAUUAUCAUCAAAGAAUUCACACUGGA